rnacentral:tRNA from 7 species
GCCCCGUUCGUCUAGCGGCCCAGGACGCUGGCCUCUCACGCCGGAAGCACGGGUUCGAAUCCCGUACGGGGUACCA